UGAAAUAGCUCAGUUGGUAGAGCAUGAGAUUCUUAAUCUCAGUGUUAUGGCUUUGAGCCCCAUGCUGGGCAAAA